rnacentral:lncRNA from 1 species
GUCUGGCCGCCCUCCACGCCGGCGUCUUGCGGGCCGGGGAGGACAAGGCGGUCGCCUUCACAUCUGCGACGGCCACCGACAGCUUCGUGGGCACAAUCCGUAAUCGCGUUGUGUCGAAAUACAAGGAAGUACCACCAAAUCAACAAUCGUUCAGUUUCAGUGAAAAAUCCUUCCCAACGACCACAGAAACAAAGCUAACAGGUACCUCCGUCAUCAUGGUGCA